AGAAUCAACGCUGGCGGCGUGCCUAACACAUGCAAGUCGCACGAGAAAGGGUAGCAAUACCUGAGUAAAGUGGCGCACGGGUGAGUAACACGUGAAUCAUCUACCUCCGAGUGGGGAAUAACCUAGAGAAAUCUGGGCUAAUACCGCAUAACACUUACGAGUCAAAGCAGCAAUGCGCUUGGAGAGGAGUUCGCGGCCGAUUAGCUAGUUGGCGGGGUAAUGGCCCACCAAGGCGAUGAUCGGUA
rnacentral:rRNA from 1 species